GUUAUGUGCAUUAUUGCCUUAAAAAUGUUUUGACAAAAUUGUUGCAAUAUUUAGCCUUCCUCACAGCCCUUUGUUAUUUCCUCUUAAAUAUAUAUUAAUUUUACCUUUAAGCUUCCAUGACAAUAAAGGACUCGAGAAUAACACUGUUGACUUGAACAAGAAAAGGAAAUUAAAGGCAGGGCAAUCGGAUUUGCCUAUACCAAAGCAUAAAUGCUGGGAUCGCAGCUUUGCUUCUGAACCGGUCUUUGUGUUUGAGAAAAAUCCUGAGGUUGAAAGCAUAUUUCCAAAAAUAAUAACUGGGAAAACAGAAGGAGCAGCGAUGGAUUACGGGGCAGAACCUGAAUCAGGGAAAGACAGCAAUAGUUUUGGUGGAGAUUCCGACUCUACAACGUCUUCAUGUGGUGAAGCUAAAGUCCAAUUAGAAAAGACAAACUUGCAUUUCUGAGUGGAGAGCAUCCUAGCCAUCAUGAUGAAUUACAAGCAUUUCAGACUCUUGAGGAGCACCUCGUAGAUUUGUGUGAUCAAGUAGAUUACACUAGCUCUGGAUAUGUAAAUGACUGCAUUGAACAGCCUACAGAUAACGAACUUGAAGAUAUUCUCUACUCCCAUGGGGUUAACCCAACAAAUAUGUACGUUCUUUCAUCCGGAAGGUGAACUGUAGGCCAAGAUGCUCAACCAGGCACUAGGAAACAAACCAUUGAUCAAGAAUUCGAGCAGUUCUUUUCCAAGCUUAUGCUGUAGCAAUAGUUUAACUGAAAGUGUGUAUAUUUCUAAAUAUUUUUGUUGCAUAUGCAUGUGAGUCUUAUGAUUCUUAUAAUGAAGAUCAUGUAAAACAGCUUGUUAUUUGUAAUCAUCCCAUUCCAUCCUCUGCGAAGCAGAAUGUGAGGCUAACUUGAUAGACCCCAAAGCUUUCGGAAA